CUGGGAGAGUGGAAAAUGCCCCAGCCCAUGGCAGGGGGCGGAACAAAGUGAAUUUAGGAUCCCUCCCAACCCAAAGCUGUGAUCCCAAGAACCACGGGUUUUGCUUCAGCGCCUUCGAAGGUUGAGAAUUUCACUCCAAGCAGUUUGUAAAUCCCUGAGAGGAGGCAGGAAUCUCCAAGAGUCCCCCUCGGGCAGGACAGAGCAGGCUGGAGGAGCAGCAGCAGCAAGCCCUGCUCCCUCCAGGAGUAAAUGAGCGAGCAGAGAAUUCUCUGCUCCCCCAGCAGGUACCAGUGCAAACACCGCGCUUCAGUUGCCAAGCAACCCCCGCAUCCUCCAAAACUCCUGUUCAAGGAGCAAUAAAAUCACUCGUUCAAAGGGAAUGGAAAACAAAACCCAAGUUGUGGCUCUGCCACGGAGAUUUGCUCAGUAAAGUGAGGCAGAGGCAGAAUCUCAGCCCAGGAAAUGAAUUCAGCCGUCGCUAUUUCUGUGACCCUCCCAACUCCCCCUUGUGGGACGGCAACAGGAACCUACAGAUGGAAAAUAAAUUUGGCAUUAACCUGCAUUUGCUGGGUGGCAGAAGUUCUCUCUCACCAUUUGCUGAGAGCCAAGCAAGGAUCAUCAAGGAUUUCCAAAAAUCCCAAAUGUCUCCAGCACCACGUUUGGAACCAUAUGGCACAGUCGGAUUUCUG
rnacentral:lncRNA from 12 species